UACGGAGGGUGCAAGCGUUAUCCGGAUUCACUGGGUUUAAAGGGUGCGUAGGAGGGCAGGUAAGUCAGUGGUGAAAUCUCCAAGCUUAGCUUGGAAACUGCCGUUGAUACUAUCUGUCUUGAAUAUUGUGGAGGUGAGCGGAAUAUGUCAUGUAGCGGUGAAAUGCUUAGAUAUGACAUAGAACACCAAUUGCGAAGGCAGCUCACUACACAAUCAUUGACUCUGAGGCACGAAAGCGUGGGGAUCAAACAGG
rnacentral:rRNA from 1 species